rnacentral:rRNA from 1 species
UACGUAGGGUGCAAGCGUUGUCCGGAAUUAUUGGGCGUAAAGAGCUCGUAGGCGGUCUGUCGCGUCUGGUGUGAAAAUCCAGGGCUUAACCCUGGACCUGCAUCGGGUACGGGCAGACUAGAGUGCGGUAGGGGAGAUCGGAAUUCCUGGUGUAGCGGUGAAAUGCGCAGAUAUCAGGAGGAACACCGGUGGCGAAGGCGGUUCUCUGGGCAGUUACCUGACGCUGAGGAGCGAAAGUGUGGGGAGCGAACAGG